GAUGAAGAACGCAGCGAAAUGCGAUACGUAAUGUGAAUUGCAGAAUUCAGUGAAUCAUCGAAUCUUUGAACGCAUAUUGCGCUCUCUGGUAUUCCGGAGAGCAUGCUUGUUUGAGUAUCAGUAAACACCUCAACUUCCAUAUCUUUUUUUGAAAUGGGAGUUGGACUUGAGUGAUCCCAACGCUUUUCCUCACCGAAAAGUGGCGGGUUACUUGAAAUGCAGGUGCAGCUGGACUUUUCUCUGAGCUAUAAGCAUAUCUAUUUAGUCUGCCUAAAAAACAGAUUAUUACCUUUGCUGCAGCUAACAUAAAGGAGAUUAGUUCUUGUGCUGACUGAUGCAGGAUUCACACAGACAGCUUCGGCCGACUUUGUAAACUCGAUCUCAAAUCAAGUAAGACUACCCGCUGAACUUAAGCAUAUCAAUAAGCGGAGGA
rnacentral:misc_RNA from 1 species